CCGGAGCUUCCCUAGGGACAAGACCUGGGUGUCUCUGCAGUCUGCACCCUCGGGGGCCCCAGGAAGGACCCCCUUCUUCCCCACACCCUGCAGGCUCAGGGGGGUCUGCCGCCGCUGACUGGCCUCUCUCUGCUCCAGUAAGUUUUCAGGUUUUGGUCUUCCAGAGAAAAAGGAAAAUAUAACAAGGCAAAAGUCACUGCAAGACAGUAGGAGAAAAAGAAAAGCUGGUUCUUCCAGUCUGGUGAUUUGCGGGGAGGAGAAGGAAGAGUGAGUGAAAGAAAGAUCUCUUGACCUCCCUCACCGAGGGGAAGGGACAUCAUAAACAAAGAAAGAUAAAAGGCACAGAGCUUUGAUGAGUUCUUCUUUUAUAGUCUGUACAGAAGUUCUGUGUUGUACGGCUCCUCUCCAACAUGGAGAAGUGAAAUUGAAGAACGAUGGUAUAAGCUAAGCCCAAGUUAACAUUUCAGAGCUGCAUGACCCUGAGCUCCUGAGUGGAAAGGGCCUGACAAGUGUGUAGGGGGGUAAUUGAGCAGAGGAUGAUAAGACAAUUGAUGGACUGGUUGGAAAACUUAACAGGGAGAAGUGCUCUGACAGCAGUGAUGUGGCUCCAUAACUGAGGGCAACAGAGCAGCACUGACAUCGGGGAUAGUCUGCUUGUCACAGUCUGCUCUCUGGAGGCACCCACAGAACCAGAUAACUGAGGUGAGGCUAAGACCUCUGGCCAUGCCAAACAAAUGGACCACAGGAGCCUCUGAGGCAGACAGCAGCAAUAUCUAUCAGUAGGAAACCCAGAGACUGGACCAGAAGUACAUCUCAAAAGGCAUUGCAUAGCACUCACCCAGAAACCAGCUGCCCUGCUGAGGAAAGCACACCAAAAAGAGACAGAAGCCAGGUAGAACACCUCUACCAAUACAAAAAGGCUAAAAACUUUCUCAUCCUUUCAGCUGCCAUCUUGGUAAGGAGGCAAUAGCAAAAAGAAUGUCUUCAAGAAAUAUUUACAGCACAGAGACUGACCUAUAUAGAAAGAAGAGGGAUAUAUUCACAAUUAGUAGGUUAGGUCAACCUCUAUACCUCUGUUGGGUGAGGAUACUUGAGGAAGAUGAUCAUAGAAAAAUAAAGAUGUGUCCAUUCAUUCAUUUA